rnacentral:rRNA from 1 species
AGAGUUUGAUCAUGGCUCAGGAUGAACGCUAGCGGCAGGCCUAAUACAUGCAAGUCGAACGGUAACAUUGGUGCUUGCACCAGAUGACGAGUGGCGCACGGGUGCGUAACGCGUAUGCAAUCUACCUUUUACUAGAGUAUAGCCCAGAGAAAUUUGGAUUAAUCCUCUAUAAUAUCUUUUAAUUUCAUGAUUUUAAGAUUAAAGUUUUAACGGUAAAAGAUGAGCAUGCGUCCUAUUAGUUUGUAGGUGAGGUAACGGCUCACCUAGACUACGAUAGGUAGGGGCCCUGAGAGGGGGAUCCCCCACACUGGUACUGAGACACGGACCAGACUCCUACGGGAGGCAGCAGUAAGGAAUAUUGGACAAUGGACGAAAGUCUGAUCCAGCCAUGCCGCGUGCAGGAUGAAAGCCCUACGGGUUGUAAACUGCUUUUAUACAGGAAGAAACACUCCGACGUGUCGGAGCUUGACGGGUACUGUAAGAAUAAGA